rnacentral:snRNA from 1 species
AUAUUCCCAAGGACUUUAAUAUUUGGUGACCGCCAUUGCACAAUGGAGGGGUGCCCGCCAAAGGUCAGCCCAAGUGGUCGAGCCUAUGUCAUAAUUUGUCGCAGUAGGGGCCUACGUUCAUGUUCAUGUGGCUCCUAC